GUCAAGGGUUCAUAUAUAUAGUUAAAAUGUCACCGAAAAUUUGUUUACUUUCAUAGCGAUUUGGAAUCUUAAUAACACAGUAUUAAACAGAGUAUGAAGGCUGUGGUGUUUUUAGCCCUGUCCCUCGUGAUGAUGGGUGCGUCAUAUGCUGAUGACGAUGACGACGGAUGUGAGAUCAUUUUCGGUCCCAACAUCGGAGACACGCUUCCCCGGGGUGAGAGAGUAUUCAUCGAUCCUUGCGUAUAUUGCGACUGUCCCGAUGACGCACUUCCGGGGACGCAUGCGUCGUGCGACCGGAUCCCAUGUCCCCCCGUUCCCCGGAACUGCACAAAACCCGUGCAAGUCGACGGGGAGUGUUGUGUGAAGUGCGAGUAGACUAUACAACAAACUUUUAAGUCUUGACGGGUUAUCUGUAUAAUUACUGAAAACAAUACUGCAUUUCUAUUAUUGUACACAAAUGAACACUGGUAAAGCAAAUGGUAUAAGUUGCAUGGGUUUUUUUUUUUUUUGUUGAAUUUAUUUAUAUUUUUGAUUUCUAACUUGAAUUAUCUCUCCGUUGUUUAUUACAAUUACUUCGUUUUGGUUUAUAAAUUUGCUCAGUUGUUUCAA